UGUUCCUCUGGGGCACAGGGAAAGAUAAAAUAGAUCAGAGGUGCCCCCUGUAAGUGGAGGAACUCAGAAGGUGGAGCCUCAGCAUUGUCCCUACCAUGGACUGGACUCCUCUCCUCCUCACGCUCCUCACUCACUACACAGGGACCUGGGCCCAGUCUGGGCUGACCCAGGAAGCCUCAGUGUCGGGGUCUCUGGGUCAGACUGUCACCCUCACCUGCACUGGAAGCAGCAACAAUGUUGGAUACGGUGGUGCAAAGUGGUACCAGCAGGUCUCUGGAGCUGCCCCCAAACUUCUCAUCUAUGGUAGCAACAGUCGACCCUCAGGGAUCCCGGCUCGGUUCUCUGGCUCCCGUUCAGGAGCCAAGGCCUCCCUGACCAUCUCGGGGCUGCAGCCUGAGGACGAGGCUGACUACUACUGUCAGUCUUAUGAUAGUAGCUACAAUCACACAGUGCUCCAGACUCUGGGGGAAGAAAGUGUCAUUAAGAUUGUAGGUUUCUAA